UCGGUAUGUACUGGCUUUACUGAUUCCUCCUUCUUGACGAACCGUGAUGUCAUUAAUUUGGUGUUGCGGGAAAUCAGGACUGUUACUUUGAAAAAAUUAGAGUGUUUAAAGCAGGCUAACGCUUGAAUACAUUAGCAUGGAAUAAUGAAAUAGGACGUUAAUCCUAUUUUGUUGGUUUCUAGGAUCGACGUAAUGAUUAAUAGGGAUAGUUGGGGGCAUUAGUAUUCAAUUGUCAGAGGUGAAAUUCUUGGAUUUAUUGAAGACUAACUACUGCGAAAGCAUUUGCCAAGGAUGUUUUCAUUAAUCAAGAACGAAAGUUAGGGGAUCGAAGACGAUCAGAUACCGUCGUAGUCUUAACCAUAAACUAUGCCAACUAGGGAUCGGAUGAUGUUAUUUUUAA
rnacentral:rRNA from 1 species